GACGAACGCUGGCGGCGUGCUUAACACAUGCAAGUCGAACGGAAAGGCCCCUUUGGGGGUACUCGAGUGGCGAACGGGGGAGUAACACGUGAGUAACCUGCCCUUGUCUUCGGGAUAACUUCAGGAAACUGGGGCAAAUACCGGUUAGGGAUCCUUGCUGCAUGGGGGGGGUUGGAAAGCUUCGGCGGUGUUGGAUGGACUCGCGGCUUAUCAGCUUGUUGGUGGGGUAGUGGCUUACCAAGGCUUUGACGGGUAGCCGGCCUGGGAGGGCGACCAGCCACAGUGGGACUGGGACACGGCCCAGACCCCGACGGGAGGCAGCAGUGGGGAAGAUUGAUCAAUGGGCGGAGGCCUGAUGCUGCAACGCCGCGGGCGGGAGGACGGCGUUGGGGUUGGAAUCGGAAUUCAGCAGGGGCGAGGAUUGUGGUGACGGUACCUGCAGAAUAAGCACCGGCUAACUACGUG
rnacentral:rRNA from 1 species